AAUUAUUAAUUGGGCUAUAGAUAAUUGUGCUGCUUCUUGGGCCACCAAGGUAUAAAUUUAAAUGGGUGAUUUUAUCCACAGCCCCAUUUUACUCAAUAUAGUCACUCAUAUAAAAUAAUAAUAAAAAAUAAUUAUAAAUUUACAAUUUUACCCUAUAAUUUGUAUAUCCUCAAAUUAAUUUAUUUUAUAAUUAAAUUAAAAUUCAAUUUUUUGUAUAGCCCCAAACUACAUGUACCUCAAGCAAUCACAAGUUAUACUCUGCAAUAAAUAGAGUUUCUGGAAAGCUUUGUUAUUUUAUCUAAAUCAGCAUCAUGUGCUUUAAAAUCACCAAGAACAGUGAUUAUGCCUUUUGUUUCUUGGGUUUCCUGUUAUUGGAGAAAAAGGGGGGGGCUAGGUCACAUGGCUACUACUAUUCCGUCUUGCAGAGAAAACGCUUACUUGUUAAGAUUCACAUAAAUUUCUUAUGCAUAAAUCAACGGUGGAAGAUUUAACAUUGAAUCUCUCUAUCUCUCAUUCUCUUGUAAGCUAGAAAAUAUGUAAGGGUUAGCACAAGCAGAGCAGUUGCAGUUUCUCAAGCACUCAGUUUUGCACUGAUCAAGGCUCAUGCUAGUAUUCAACCAGUAUGUUAGUAGAUCAGGAUGCUUCACCCCUCUAACCUCUACAAAACCAUUUCCACUCUCGCAAUUAAACGCCCUAACUCUACCACAUCCACCAGACCAGUCUUGAAGCUCCCAUUCCUUCCUGAACUUGGGAGAAAAUCCUCUGAAAUACUCGCAUCUUUGUGCCUUGUCAACUGCGCAUAUGUCGUUGGGACCGCAGUGACGGCGGCUUAAUUUGCUCGCCAUUGAUGUUGUUCGGACCGGGAGAAGGUAAAGACAAUGGCCUAUGUCAAAAUUGAAGGCGAAAUCGAUCGCCUAAAAUUGCGAUCGUCGGAAAUCGAGGGAGGAAGCAGUGGCAGAUUUGGAGAUUGAAGGUUUCAAAUAGAGAUGAAGGACGUGAGUUAGAGAAUGAGAGACGAGGAGGCCGACGGCGGCAGGGGCAACCCUGCCACUACUAUUUUUCGGAAAUCUAAAGCGGCAGUGGCGGUGAAUUUAAGAAGAAGGGAAAAAUCAAGGACUAAUUGGAGGAUUUUGAAGACAUGAGAUUGAAGUACGUCUCUAGAGGAAUCCGUGAGCGCAAACGGCGACCAAAUCCGAGUCCGGACGAGGGAGAACGGAGCAAAACGAGUAGACUGCGCAAAGAGCCCAGUAUCCCGCGGUCACCACCCGCGGCCGUGGGGCGGGACCGCGGCAAACUCACUUUCGACACCAGAAGACACCCGCGGCCGCGGGGUGGGACCGCGGGUCCCCUGAGCAUCCCCCACGUUUGAAGGCCGCGGACGCGGGCCGUGACCGCGGGAAAAGGGCGGGGCUUCCCCCAAGUGGGCCCAGACGUGAUUUUGAGCCCUAAAACCCCAUUUUCCCCCCAUUCCUCACAUCUUUCAUCAUCCCCCAACAUUCAACACACCCAAUUUCAUCUUCCCCAAUACUCCACACCAAAACCCUAGCCUCCAUUAACACACCCACCUACCAAGAUUGAAGCAUUGAAGAGGAGAGAAGGAAGAAAGCAACCUUGAAAUAGGAUUUGUCACUUUACUCUCCAUUUCAUUUAUGUAUCUCUUUGUUUUUGGAUUGUUGUUUGUGAACAUGUUAGGCUAAAAUCCCCCAUUGGUUUGGGGGUUAGGCUAGUAGAUUAUGUAAUGGAUUGAUUAUUAUGCUUAA